rnacentral:tRNA from 1 species
GGAGAGGUGGCCGAGCGGCUGAAGGCGCCCGCCUGCUAAGCGGGUA